rnacentral:rRNA from 1 species
CCUACGGGUGGCAGCAGUGAGGAAUAUUGGUCAAUGGACGCUAGUCUGAACCAGCCAAGUAGCGUGAAGGAUGACUGCCCUAUGGGUUGUAAACUUCUUUUAUAUGGGAAUAAAGUUCAGUAUGUAUACUGAUUUGUAUGUACCAUAUGAAUAAGGAUCGGCUAACUCCGUGCCAGCAGCCGCGGUAAUACGGAGGAUCCGAGCGUUAUCCGGAUUUAUUGGGUUUAAAGGGAGCGUAGGCGGCUGGUUAAGUCAGUUGUGAAAGUUUGCGGCUCAACCGUAAAAUUGCAGUUGAUACUGGCGGCCUUGAGUGCAGUAGAGGUAGGCGGAAUUCGUGGUGUAGCGGUGAAAUGCUUAGAUAUCACGAAGAACUCCGAUUGCGAAGGCAGCCUACUGGACUGUAACUGACGCUGAUGCUCGAAAGUGUGGGUAUCAAACAGGAUUAGAUACCCGUGUAGUC